GACGUAGGGCGCGAGCGUUUGUCCGGAUUUAUUGGGCGUAAAGAGCUCGUAGGCGGCUUGUUGCGUCAGCUGUGAAAACCCGCAGCUCAACUGUGGGCUUGCAGCUGAUACGGGCAGGCUUGAGUUCGGUAGGGGAGACUGGAAUUCCUGGUGUAGCGGUGAAAUGCGCAGAUAUCAGGAGGAACACCGUGGCGGCGAAGGCGG
rnacentral:rRNA from 1 species